rnacentral:tRNA from 1 species
GCUAUAAUAGUAGCGCCACGGAGCACAUGCACAACCUUGCCAAGGUUGGGGUCGCGAGUUCGAGUCUCGUUUCCCGCUCCA